rnacentral:lncRNA from 1 species
CUGAGUAUCACAGAUUGUUCCAACACUCACUUUCAUCAUUUCCUUCACGAGGAAAGAGGCCCACGAAGGUUAAAUGACUUAUAUGAGGUCACAAAGUCACUUGGAGACAAAAUCAGCAGUAGGAUCUCGGUUUCCAGCCCAGUGCAAUUUCUGCUCUAUCCCGCUGACCUCAUUGUUGAGGUAGGUGGUAAUGUAAAGGGAAGAGCUACCCCUUAUGGGAUGUUUCUUUCUAUCAGCCUUUAGAGGGUCAGGUUUAUUUGCUGGUGGUAGACUGACAGCCCAACUACUUGAUAGAAACCCUACGUUGAUGUCAGAAUGCUGGACACCGCAAAGCUCUGGGAAGCAUCUUAUAACAACGGCUCAACCAUUUCCUCUUCAAAUGUACUGCUUAAUCACAUAAGUUCCUGAUACGGUUUGGCUGUGUCCGCACUCAAAUCUCAUGCUGAAUUGCAGUUCCCAUUAUCCCUAUGUGUCCUGGGAAGGACCCGGAGGGAGGUAGUUGAAUCAAGGGGGCGGUUACCCUCAUGCGGUUCUCGUGAUAGCAAGUGAGUUCUCACGAGAUCUGAUGGUUUUAUAGAGGCUUUCCCCUCCUUCCCUCUGCACUUCUCGCUGCUGCCACGUCGCAAAGGAAGUGUUUUCUUCUCCUUCCGCCAUGAUUAUAAAUUUCCUGAGGCCUCCCCAGCCCUGCGGAACUGUGAGUCAAUUAAAUCUUUUUCUUUAUAAAUUACCCAAUCGUAGGUAUGUCCUUAUAGCAGUGUGAGAACCGACUAAUACAGUUCCUUAGGAAGCCCCUGCUGGGUAUGGAUGGGGAGUGAAGCAAGGUGGGCCCAGAAGCUGCCGCUGGCUGAGAGACCAUGAAGAAAGUGUAUAGAAUCUCCACCAUCACCAGAGGAAGAGAGCUUGGCAGGAAAGUUACUUCCAUGAAUGGAUGAGUUGAAGUGAACAGCGUCUUGGGCAAAACUGAAGGGUAGUUAGUCGGGUUUGUCUCUGGUGGGCUUUCAGCUCCACUCCCUGCAUCCCAUUCCCACAUCGUGAUGGUCCCCUCAUAGGCCCAGGGCUACCACCUUGGAGCAUAGGUGGGGAUCCUCCAGCCAGGGUCCUUCCUUCACAGGGAGUCAGAGCCCUCUGCUCCGGAAUUGCCCUGCCCCAGGUCGGCCAUCUAUCAAAAGCCCCACUAUCCCCUAAAGACCCACCCUCAAGCAGCAGAUGUGCAGCAAGGGAGCCGCAAAUGUCAUUCCUGUGACCCCGAAGCAGUCUAGUGUGUUACCUCUCUCAGGGCUGCUAUGGGCUGAAUUGCUUUUCCCCAAAAUUUCUAUGCUGCUUCCCUAACCCCCAGCGCCUCAGAAUCUAACUCUGGAUAGGACCUGUGAAUAAGUGAUUAAGUUAAAAUGGGGUCCUGUGGAUGGGCCCUAACCCAAUCUGACUGGUGUCCUUUUAAGAAGAGGAAGAGACACCAGAGAUGUGCACACUCAGAGACAAGACACAUGAGGACACAGAGACAAGGCGGCUACCUGCAAGCCAGGGAGAGGGGCCUCGGGGAAGCCAACCCUGCCUACGCCUUGAUCUUGGACUUCCAGCCUCCAGAACUCCAGAAUCUGAGUGAAAUGGGUAUAAAUCAUGAGCUAGGAUACAGUUCAAUUAUUCCUAUGAUGAAAAGCCCCUGCCAAUCACUAUUCUACUUUCUGUCUUCAUGAAUUUAACUACUGCAGGAUGUCGUGUACAUGGAGUCAUGCAGUAUUUGUCCUUUUGUGAGUGGCUUAUUUCACUUAGUAUAAUGUCUUCAAGGUCAUCCAUGGUGUAGCAUGGGUUCAAAUUCCCUCCUUCUGAAGGCUGAAUCAUAUUCCAUUGUAGGUACAGUCAGCCUCUGGAUAUCUGUGGGUUCUGUAUCCAUGGAUUCAACCAAAUGCAGAUCAAGAAUAUUAAAAAGGCCGGGCACAGUGGCUCACGCCUGUAAGCCCAGCACUUUGGAAGGCUGAGGCGAGUGGAUCACUUGAGGUCAGGAGACUAGCCUGGUCAACAUGGUGAAACCCCAUCUCUACUAAAAAUACAAAAAUUAGCCAGUCGUGGUGGUGCACACCUGUACUUCCACCUACUCGGGAGGCUGAGGCAGGAGAAUUGCUUGAAUCCGGCAGGCAGAGGUUGCAGUGAGCUGAGAUUGUGCCACUGCACUCCAGCCUGGGUGACACAGCAAGACUCUGUCUCAAAAAAAUAUAUAUAAAAUAUAUAUAUAAAAUAUAUAUAUAU